AAGGGAGGGGGACGUAAAUGGGACAGCGAGUCCCCAGGCUGGAAACAAAAAAGAAAAGUGAUAACAAAUGCCUCAGGGUCUGUAGUAUCUUCUCCAGAACUUGAAGGUAAUUUGGAAGGGAAGGGAGUACAGGUAGAAUUUCUGAAUAUUCAAACGAGAACCUAGGGGCUGUUCUCCUGUGUUGACUCAGUGCUAAUUUUGACAGCACUCCCCUGGGUACGGGAGCACUCAUGUGCUUUUCCGGGCCUGGGGGUGCUGUGGCUUUUUCUGCUGAGUUUUUUGUGCUUGUAGGAGGGCAAUCAUUCUAACUUUGUGGUUGAUUUUUGUAGGUGAAGAAAGGGGAGGGCCCUCCUCGGGAUUAAGUGGCGGAGGUGACAAACAUAAGCACAGAAAACUCCUCUCCUCCAUUCAUGCCUUCCAACGUGCACACACCAUCAUUCCCACCUCGGAGUCUCUUAUUUCACAUCCCUCCUCACUCUCCCCCGGCUGAAUCAUGCGCAACCAGGUAGGGAACCCAGAGAGUGACACAGCUCCCUUCAUUCUCCUUGUGUUGCACCAAACUUUGGUCACCACAGCCCAAGCUCCUGGGAUACAUUUAUUCCUAUGGGUAAAUGAAGCACAGACCUAACCUACGGGAUGAAGGGACCUUCUGAAGAGGGAAACUUCUUGAAAAGCUUCUUCAGAGGCACUUAGGAGACAGUGGGCAGGGUGGCAGGGACGCCUGUGAACUGUGGCUACAUGCGCGCCCCUGCCCCAUCUUCUCACCUUUCCACCCGUGUCUUCAGGACACGCCCCCAAAGCCAGAAUUACACCUCAGCUUUUGUUCCUAGCAGAAUUAUAAAAAGGCACCAUGAGUGGAAGUCCCAUCCUGGGCUGGCUCUUUGUGGUAAAAUAAGCAAAUCAUUAACACAGUCAUUGCACAAUGAAAAGUUAAUAAAUUUUGUGUAGGUGGAAAGUCCACUGGUUCCUUCCUUGGGGGAAAUGUUCCUUUUGAUAUCGGCUGAGUUAACACAGGACAUUUUGAUCCAUUGAAAACAGUUGAUUUACAGUGCUGUUAUGUCACUAUGCUGAGGUGGAAUAAUUUGAACAGAGACUUGAACAAGGCAAAGGAGUGAGCCAGGUGAAUAUCUGGGGAUGUUCUGAUACUUGAAGCUGAAAGCAUCAUUAACUUAUACAUCAGCAACUCAACUCAUACUCACUUCAGUGCAGGAAGAAAGCCUAUGACGGACUCAACCCUGAAUGAACUGGAUUUAACCAUGAAAUACAAUCUAGCAGAUAUUAUAUUUUUAACUUCAAAAGUGAAGAGAAAAGAAAAGAAAAGGGCAUUUGAAGAAACUUAAAACAUAAAUGAAGGCCUAAAGAAAAUAGAAAAGAGCUUGAUUUUAGGUACCUGUAUAAAAAUUUAAUAAAGAGAGGAUCAGCCAAUAUUAAGUGUAUUAAAUCCCAAGUUUCCCCUUGAUAUCAAAACAGAAGGAAAAGCAUUUGCUUUUAUUUACAAUCUCAAAGAGAAUCAAAUUCCCUUCCUUUGUGUGUUAACAGACAUUUAUAUUAGUAACUAAUAUUAAUAAAUCUGCUUUCCAUUUAA